UAGGGAAUCUUCCGCAAUGGGCGAAAGCUUGACGGAGCAACGCCGCGUGAGUGAUGAAGGUCUUCGGAUCGUAAAACUCUGUUAUUAGGGAAGAACAAAUGUGUAAGUAACUAUGCACGUCUUGACGGUACCUAAUCAGAAAGCCACGGCUAACUACGUGCCAGCAGCCGCGGUAAUACGUAGGUGGCAAGCGUUAUCCGGAAUUAUUUGGCGUAAAGCGCGCGUAGGCGGUUUUUUAAGUCUGAUGUUGAAGCCCACGGCUCAACCGUGGAGGGUCAUUGGAAACUGGAAAACUUGAGUGCAGAAGAGGAAAGUGGAAUUCCAUGUGUAGCGGUAAAAUGCGCAGAGAUAUGGAGGAACACCAGUGGCGAAGGCGACUUUCUGGUCUGUAACUGACGCUGAUGUGCGAAAGCGUGGGGAUCAAACAGG
rnacentral:rRNA from 1 species